rnacentral:rRNA from 1 species
UACGGAGGUGCAAGCGUUAUCCGGAAUCAUUGGGUUUAAAGGGUCCGUAGGUGGAUAAUUAAGUCAGAGGUGAAAUCCUGCAGCUCAACUGUAGAAUUGCCUUUGAUACUGGUUAUCUUGAGUUACUAUGAAGUAGUUAGAAUAUGUAGUGUAGCGGUGAAAUGCAUAGAUAUUACAUAGAAUACCAAUUGCGAAGGCAGAUUACUAAUAGUACACUGACACUGAUGGACGAAAGCGUGGGUAGCGAACGGG